rnacentral:lncRNA from 1 species
AAAGACUGCGUUGCCCCGAGAAUCUAACUAUUUAUAACCCGUCAAGGUUGAGAAGCUAUCUUUUUCUUUCUUCACCGGUAAUUAUAUUGUCUUUCUUUGCGGGGUUCUCUUUGUUUUUGCAGUAUCUUCUUGUUUUGAAGCUAAAGUUUAAAACUUUUAAACGGAAUUGCUAUCUCCUUCGCUUCUUGAAGGGAAUUAUUCCGAGUUACGUUGUUGUCUUUGAUAUAUUGAUCGAGGAAACAUUGUGGGGUUGAGCUUUUUUUUUAAUUACCAGUAGUUAUCAAGGGAGUGGGUUUUGAUGAAAAAGAGGAAUAGUAUUCUAGAUGUGUGCUGCUUUUAAACCAUAGC